rnacentral:misc_RNA from 1 species
UGUAGUUCAGACGGAGCUCUUCCGAUGAUAGCUCUGUAUGUAUGUCCAUGGUGCUCGAAACUUAAUGAUAGCAUCAGAGGUAAUUAUAUUUAACCGUAAUGUUCUCCACAUUACGUUGAGAUAACGGCGUUGGAAUAACGUUUAACAAAGGCAAAGGUGAGAACUCAAAAUGAAGAAGAAGAAAAAAAGAAAGUACUUCUUUGAAAUGAAAUGCUUAACGAACAAGACGAGGACGUUUUGACAUAGUAAGUCUGUCAACUGCAAAAAUGGUAAUUCUUUUUGUAGCAUGGAUGAACUGCAAAUGCAGACAUCUGCUGAGAAAAAAAAAGAUGAAUAUUGAAUCUUUGAUUUUAUGAAUUCAUAGCAUGGCUUACACUGCUCUGUUAACAGAAUGUUUGUGAAACUAUUGGUGAUAAAUUUGUAUGUCCAUAUCUAUAAUGGUUUACUAGAAGAGGCAAGAGACACUGGAGCAUAGUCAUAAAGACAAUAUGGACAUUACAGCAUGCUACAACAGUUUCCACAACUCUGAAUUGACAAGCUGUAUACACUCUCUACACAGGUCAAUCUACCUCACCAGAUUCUACUCUAAACCUCAGUCCUUCCACCUUAGAACUGCAAGUCUCUAGAAUUCUCUCCUUGCCUAUGAUUUCCUGAAGGUAUCAACUAAAACAUGCUGGCAUUGAGCAUGGACUGCAUCAGUGUCACUGGUUCAAGAAGACCUGCAAAUGUCAUGGGUACUCAUCUUUUUCCUAUGGGUAUAUAUUUUUUUUUAAAGUGCAAAACAGUUUGUAUGAUAUGUUUGAAGGAAUGUAAUGCAAUGUAAGUAUUAAAGGCAUCAGCAGCUGAUGUAUAUGA